AGUGUGAGAGGACCAGGCCUGACCUCGGGGGUGGGUACGCAGAAGGACCCUGUCGUGCUCCCAAGGGAUAGCGUUCCCAGCGAGACCGCGUGGAAGGUUCUAGAAAUCGCCAGGGAGCAUGCGCCAACGGCGCGUAAGGCUGGCCACAGACCGAGUUGGGACAUGCACUUCCCCUUGGAGUCUCGCUCUCGGCAGCAGCUCUGGAUUUGGGUGCGAGUGUAUGUUGUGUAGAGAAGCAGGUGGAGGGGUUGCUGAAGUAGUGACGCCUGCUGCGGGUUCAUUGUGGGUGUUAAAACUGCCCUGUGUCUCAGUCGUGAACACUAGUUGAAAAUACACGACCGUGUAAAAUAAAGUCUCUGGGAGAAAAUAUGCCAACUUGUAAACAGUGGUUAUUUUUAGAAGACAAUUAAGAGUGACCUUUUUAGUGUUAAAAAAAAAAAAAAAAGCUGGACUGUCGUUUACUAAUGGAGAGUGAUGAGACAGUUAUGGCUUGUAAGCUGUCGCUGAAGUGUCCAUCGCGUAGUGAGAAAAAAGAGGUUCAACAAUUGGGACCAGAGAGUGAAAGACCAACAGAACAGUUUCACGUUUUCCUCCGCUGAAUUAGGAUCGUUCGAAAAUGCUUACAGUGAAUUUACUAACAGAUUAAGCACCAAGGACCUUACUUACCCCCUGAUAGUAGGCAAGCUACCCUACCCUUUCCUACGAGGGAAAAAAGCCCUGGAGACAGGACUGUUUCCACAAAUGACUUUGGAGAACCAAAACAAAGGAAAGAGCAUGAAACUGGCCCAACCAUUUUGUGAGCAGAUGAAGUCAAAGAACUUCCACUAGAUUCUUAAGCACUUACACAUUGGAAGGAAGGCGCAAAAGGGGUCCAGUCAAGGAAAUGGCUCCAUGUGCCACGGCGUCAGGGUCCUUUCCCGAUUUAGUGGAGUGGCCAUGGCCUGCAGAUGCAGGAGAGCAUAUCCCAAGCCAAGGCUGGCUGGGCAAGCGCCUCCUUGGGCCUUUGGUGUAUCCCAGCAAGAACCACAGAGGGAAGGAGACCUGGAGAGUGCACCCCAGUCUGGCUGGAGGAAAUGGAAAGCUUUGCGUCUUCAGACUCUAUAGACGCCACCUAGUGGGCAAACAACUCGUUCACACUCAGCACGCAACUGUGGCUGGCCCAGUUUCAGUUACUGGCAGUCAACCACAGUCCAGAAGCAGAUGAUCCUUCUCCUGACGUAUUGUCAUGUCAAUAGCAACCUAACGCUAUGUCACAAUGCCUACAUCAUUCACUUCACUCCAUCUCAUCAAAUAGGCAUCUUAUCAACUCACAUCAUCACAAGGUCUCCUGUCAAUGCUUUGCCCUGGCAAAACCUCACCGGAGCCUGUGACAUGUGGUUGACGGGUUGCCGACCCCUUGCAAUCCAGAAGAGUUCCCAGAAAGGCUCGCAGUGGGGUUGAGAGCCAACAGUACACAACUAGCACAAGCGCAUGAUGCUGUGUGGCUGCACCAUGAACAUUUCCACCGGAGGUGGUCACGCAAUCCCUUUGCCCUGCAGUGAUGUCAUCAAGCCAUGUACCAGGAAGAGCCUCCCUAGGGUGGGGCUUCCCCUCCUCAAGAUACACACCUGGUGGGGAGAACUCGUUGUAGAAUUCCAAGUUCGGUUCCCAGAGAGGUUAACAGCAAAGACACAAUAGAUCCUUAAGCAGCUCUUACCCUAUUCUUGGCCCUGCCCUGGCUAACCCAGGGUCUACCACAUCAGCACCUCCAUAGAUCUGUAACUGGGGUACAGAGGUGCAAGAGAUCCUGGCUCCAGGGGUCCCAAACGGACCAGGUUCGGCCACUUGCUGCUGACAAGAUCCAAGAUAAGUGGUGGUGAAACCAGACAGGCAUUUAUUUCAGUGAGGCCAGCACCAGGAAGACUUCACAAAGAGGGUCUCCAAAGUGCUGAAAAUAUCUUCUAGAUUUAUAUAAAGAAAAUGUGGGACAAAGGUCAGUGGGUACAUAACAUAGAUGUAGGCAGUAAAAGUCGGGUUGAUCAUUGUCUUGGGGUCAGUCACGUCAGGUCAGGUCAGGUCAGUUGUUAUUGCUUAAGGGGUAGUUUUGGUUCCCAUAUGGGAUGCUUCGCUGUGGAGUCUUUUGCCUGAGUUAAGUGAUAAGCUGGAAAGAAUAACUUAAUCACUUAGAAAGUACAGACUGAGGUCAGAAUGGAGGUAGUUGAAGUCCUCUUUCAGGUACACCCUUCACCCAAUAUCUACCUGGUCUGACUCCACUGGACAUUAGCAACUCUUUCCAAAAGACAAGUAUCACUGAUUUUAGGAAAAUGUUCCCAUUCAUACCUGUCAAAGAGCAAGUUGUUAGGGUGGACUCUUUAUUGUUUGUUUGUUUGUUUGUUUGUUUGUUUUUCAUUUUGACAAGCCCUUGAAUGCUUUUAGAGUAAUUUUGUUUUGGUUUUGCUUUAUUUUGGUAUAUUUUUGUAAAUGUAUUAUGAAAACACAAAGUGUUUUUUAAAUAGGACAGCUGAGCUAGCACAAAUGAAGACCUCAGGAUGGGGACGGGUGUGCAAUACCACUGUCAAUCUCGCUCCAUUCCCCUUGUCAUCUUUUAGAAGGCAAAGCAGGCACUCACAGCUUAAGCUAACCCCUUCAUUCCUCUAAGCCCAAACUCCUAGGAUAUACUGAUCCUAUACCCCUAACAUGGCACAGAGGGAAGACCGCACUCUUUCAUUGGAAGAAUCAGAUAUAUUUAGAAAGAAUACAUGUCCUUGGUUAUAAUAUAUUUUCUUCAAAGAAUAUACUAGCAUGAGAACUCAUCUAUUUUCUCUACCUGAACUGCACUGUCUCAUUGAAAGAAAUUUUCCUCCAAAAUAGGGCUGAAGAAGCACUUCCUGGCUGACUGAUAGAGACACAUCCCCAGAAACAGAGUGGAGGGCAAUGGUGGGGGUGUCCUAAGGAACAUGAUAUCCUUGGCUAAUGCUGGAAGGUGCUGGCUGGGGACACAAACUCCCUGGGGGUGUGGGCCCUCCUGUCCCUACUUGGACAACUCUGACCCUCAAAGCCUGCUUGAUUGGUUAGACAAUUAGUUGGUUGAAUGCAGAGCACUCAGAGUCAGAGGGAGACCCUUUUAGGGUGCUCUGCCCUGAGGGCUCUCAGCUCUUCUUCCUCCACCCAUUCACAUGUCCCCCAUGCCAAUGUUAAUCUCUUCUCUCCUCCUGCUCCCCACCCUUCCCCAGUAUUCUAAUUCUUCACCUCAUUACACAGAGGAAUUCACCUCUCCCAAGUCCUUCCCCAGCCCAUACACCCAAACUCAUCCUGAUUUGGGAAGUCACAGAAGCAUUACCCAACCUCUUAUAGAGAGAGACCCAUUAUAUAUAGAAAUACAUUUGGCUUGUUUUGAAUCACAACCAUGGUUACGUCCUCUAUAAACAGUUUCUUGAUUUUCUCCCA